rnacentral:rRNA from 1 species
ACGGGAGGCAGCAGUGGGGAAUAUUGGGCAAUGGGCGAAAGCCUGACCCAGCAACGCCGCGUGAAGGAUGACGGUCUUCGGAUUGUAAACUUCUUUAAUUGGGGAAGAACAAAAUGACCUACCCAAAGAAUAAGUCACGGCUAACUACGUGCCAGCAGCCGCGGUAAUACGUAGGUGACAAGCGUUAUCCGGAUUUACUGGGUGUAAAGGGCGUGUAGGCGGUUUUGCAAGUCAGAUGUGAAAUUCCCGGGCUUAACUUGGGCGCUGCAUCUGAAACUGCAGAACUUGAGUACUGGAGGGGAUAGCGGAAUUCCUAGUGUAGCGGUAAAAUGCGCAGAUAUUAGGAGGAACACCGGUGGCGAAGGCGGCUAUCUGGACAGUAACUGACGCUGAGGCGCGAAAGCGUGGGGAGCAAACAGGAUUAGAUACCCUGGUA